UGGAAAUCUCCCUGUUUUAUAUUAAACACAGACAUAUCUAAAAGAUUUAGGUGAAAUAAGGUUAAAAUGUCUUCCCCACCCGUGCCUCAGAAAAGAGCGAGAGAGAGAGAGAGAGAUAAAGACAGCCGCCAGACAUGAAAAAACGAUAAAUAAUGCGAAAUAAAUUGAGGAAGGGCAUUGGUGUCUUCAUAUUAUAUUAAAAACACAAACAUAUAAAAGAUUUAGAUGAAAUAAGGUUAAAUGUCUCCUCCUUCCACCCGUGCCCGUCUUCCCUUCACUGUGCAAGGCCCGGUGCUGGCAUAGUGCCAAAAGAGGCACUGCUCCUGCGGCAGCAGCUUCGGCUUCCUUCGCGUGCCCUUCGUCAUUCUCGUCACCUGACGUCGUCCCCAACGACGUCGUUCGUCUCCGACGUCCUGAAGCCGAAAUAAAGGGCGAGGGAGGAGAAAUAUAAGAGGAAGUCUGACCUCCCUCCCUAAGGACGUCGCGAUGCUUCUUCUAUAGACGAUCUUUCUGAGGAGGUGAACGAGACCCUCCUUAGGCCUACGCAGAAGGGAUUAUUUCAUAUUUUUUUUUGGACGGGUCGGUCCUGGAAUAUAAAGUGGUGCACCAGCGUGUGAACUUCAAGUGGUCAUUGUUACGUACAGUGAGGAAGGGAUUUUCCUGUAGCCAAGUAAAUAACUUGUAUGGUGCUAUGUUCUAUAGGUAAAUAAGGAAAUACGUAUUGUGAUUAUCAGUAUUAAUUGGGCCAUGUUGGCUUUCUUCAUUCUCUUGUAAUACACAGUAUUUGGGAUAAUAUAGUAGUACUGCUUUAACUGUAGAAAGCCUUUAUAACUUACUAGACAAAAUGCAUAUAUGUGCUUUAUGUGGGAAAGAGUGUAGCACUCAAUUUAUGUAUGAUUUUCAUAUGAGCACCCACGAUGAGGUUUUCACUUGCGUGGAAUGCGGGAAAGAGUUUAACAGGAAAUACUGUUAUGUUCGUCACAUGAAAAUUCAUACUGGAGAAAAGCCAUUUGUUUGCCCCAGUUGUGGAAAGGGGUUCCAUGAUAAAAAUGACCUUGUAGUCCACGUCAGAAUACACACUGGAGAAAAGCCGUACAGUUGUGUGAAGUGUGGGAUGAAAUUUAGCCGCAAAACUAACCUUCGUAGGCACAUGGCGGUGCACACGCAAGAGAAGGCGUUUUUUUGUGAGGAGUGUGGAAAGGGAUUCACGCAGAAGGGAAACCUCAAGACUCACAUGAGAAUUCACAGGGGAACCGAACCUUAUCAUUGUCCUGAAUGUGGGAAGAAGUUUAAUUCGAAAUCGGGUUUGGAAGAGCACUUAAAGUCCUACUUGAAAUUCACGUGUUUAGAUUGCGGAAGGAUAUUCAGGAGGCAGGACCUUUACGAUAGCCACAUUGCAACACACACCAAACGGGUAUCAUACGAUUGCGCCGAAUGUGAAGAGAAGUUCCCUCAUCAAGACGAGCUGAAAAGCCACUUGGCUAUUCACACAUCGUUCAAGUGUAAGGAAUGUGGAAAGGAGUUUUCUCUGAGGGGCUGUCUCAAUAACCACAUGACAUCGAAGUCCUGUAAGAGAUCUUGUGCCGAGUCUGAGAAUAAACUGUCUGAAAGUGUGCCAAGUAAAUUUGCCAUUAAGGAAGAAAUUGAAUCGCCUGAUCUACUACAGAAUGACCUGAAACCAGAGACAAUAUACAUUAAAGUGGAAAGUGAAGAGAUUUAAUCUACAGUUUAUGUUUAGAGGAGUUGAGUGCAGGCAGAAACUUAGUACUACGUAUAGGAUUACAUGCUUAGUUUUGUUAUUAGGAAUAAAUGUAUGCCAAAGAAGCUUUUUUUAUUCAUUUACCUUCAUGGCAUAUCAUUACUGUAUGUAUACGUACAGUAAUUAAAAAAGAUUAUAUUGAUGCAGAGUCACAA